AAACUUCUUCUUCUUGUUCUUGUA
rnacentral:sRNA from 1 species